rnacentral:rRNA from 1 species
AGUGAACGCUGGCGGCGUGCUUGACACAUGCAAGUCGAACGAGAACGGAUUAUAGCUUGCUAUAAUUGUCAGCUAAGUGGCGCACGGGUGAGUAAUGUAUAGGUAAUAUGCCUCUUACUAAGGGAUAACAAAUGGAAACGUUUGCUAAUACCUUAUACUCCUUAUUAACAGAAGUUAAUAAGGGAAAGAUUUAUUGGUAAGAGAUUAGCCUGUAUUGUAUCAGUUAGUUGGUGGGGUAAUGGCUUACCAAGACUAUGACACAUAACUGGUUUGAGAGGAUGAUCAGUCACACUGGAACUGAGACACGGUCCAGACUCCUACGGGAGGCAGCAGUGGGGAAUAUUGCACAAUGGACGAAAGUCUGAUGCAGCAACGCCGCGUGGAGGAUGACACAUUUCGGUGCGUAAACUCCUUUUAUAUGAGAAGAUAAUGACGGUAUUAUAUGAAUAAGCACCGGCUAACUCCGUGCCAGCAGCCG